GCUUUUGUGAAUGGAUUAUGGUAGAAUGCUCGCCUGCCACGCAGGCGGCCCGGGUUCGAUUCCCGGCCGAUGCA